rnacentral:rRNA from 1 species
GGAUCCAGACUUUGAUCAUGGCUCAGGAUGAACGCUAGCUACAGGCUUAACACAUGCAAGUCGAGGGGAAACGAUAGAGAAAGCUUGCUUUUUCUAGGCGUCGACCGGCGCACGGGUGAGUAACGCGUAUCCAACCUGCCCAUCACUUGGGGAUAACCUUGCGAAAGUAAGACUAAUACCCAAUGAUAUCUCAAGAAGACAUCUGAAUGAGAUUAAAGAUUUAUCGGUGAUGGAUGGGGAUGCGUCUGAUUAGCUUGUUGGCGGGGUAACGGCCCACCAAGGCGACGAUCAGUAGGGGUUCUGAGAGGAAGGUCCCCCACAUUGGAACUGAGACACGGUCCAAACUCCUACGGGAGGCAGCAGUGAGGAAUAUUGGUCAAUGGGCGAGAGCCUGAACCAGCCAAGUAGCGUGCAGGAAGACGGCCCUAUGGGUUGUAAACUGCUUUUAUAAGGGAAUAAAGUGAGCCUCGUGAGGCUUUUUGCAUGUACCUUAUGAAUAAGGACCGGCUAAUUCCGUGCCAGCAGCCGCGGUAAUACGGAAGGUCCGGGCGUUAUCCGGAUUUAUUGGGUUUAAAGGGAGCGUAGGCCGGAGAUUAAGCGUGUUGUGAAAUGUAGAUGCUCAACAUCUGCACUGCAGCGCGAACUGGUUUCCUUGAGUACGCACAAAGUGGGCGGAAUUCGUGGUGUAGCGGUGAAAUGCUUAGAUAUCACGAAGAACUCCGAUUGCGAAGGCAGCUCACUGGAGCGCAACUGACGCUGAAGCUCGAAAGUGCGGGUAUCGAACAGGAUUAGAUACCCUGGUAGUCCGCACGGUAAACGAUGGAUGCCCGCUGUUGGUCUGAAUAGGUCAGCGGCCAAGCGAAAGCAUUAAGCAUCCCACCUGGGGAGUACGCCGGCAGCGGUGCAACUCAAAGGAAUUGACGG